GAUGAACGCUGGCGGCGUGCCUAAUACAUGCAAGUCGAGCGAACAGACGAGGAGCUUGCUCCUCUGACGUUAGCGGCGGACGGGUGAGUAACACGUGGAUAACCUACCUAUAAGACUGGGAUAACUUCGGGAAACCGGAGCUAAUACCGGAUAAUAUAUUGAACCGCAUGGUUCAAUAGUGAAAGACGGUUUUGCUGUCACUUAUAGAUGGAUCCGCGCCGCAUUAGCUAGUUGGUAAGGUAACGGCUUACCAAGGCGACGAUGCGUAGCCGACCUGAGAGGGGGAUCGGCCACACUAGAACUGAGACACGGUCCAGACUCCUACGGGAGGCAGCAGUAGGGAAUCUUCCGCAAUGGGCGAAAGCCUGACGGAGCAACGCCACGUGAGUGAUGAAGGUCUUCGGAUCGUAAAACUCUGUUAUUAGGGAAGAACAAAUGUGUAAGUAACUAUGCACGUCUUGACGGUACCUAAUCAGAAAGCCACGGCUAACUACGUG
rnacentral:rRNA from 1 species